rnacentral:rRNA from 1 species
AGUGAACGCUGGCGGCAGGCCUAACACAUGCAAGUCGAACGGCAGCACAGUAAGAGCUCGCUUCUACGGGUGGCGAGUGGCGGAUGGGUGAGGCAUACAUCGGCAUCUACUUUUUCGUGGGGGACAACGUAGGGCCACUUCCGCUAAUACCGCAUAUGUCCUACGGGUGAAAGCAGGGGAUCUUCGGACCUUGCGCGACUGUAUGAGCCGAUGUCGGAUUAGCUAGUUGGCGAGGUAAAGGCCCACCAAGGCGACGAUCCGUAGCUGGUCUGAGAGGAUGAUCGGCCACACUGGAACUGAGACACGGUCCAGACUCCUACGGGAGGCAGCAGUAGGGAAUAUUGGGCAAUGGGCGAAAGCCUGAUUCAGCAAUGCCGCGUGAGUGAAGAAGGUCUUCGGAUUGUAAAGCCCUGUUAUUAGGGAAGAAAAGCAGCAUAUGAAUACCCCGCUGUUCUGACGGUACCCAAAGAGUAAGCACCGGCUAACUUCGUG